rnacentral:piRNA from 1 species
GUGGGUAAAGCAACUGGAAACAAUCUG